rnacentral:rRNA from 1 species
UACGUAGGGGGCAAGCGUUGUCCGGAAUCAUUGGGCGUAAAGAGCGUGUAGGCGGCCCGAUAAGUCCGCUGUGAAAGUCCAGGGCUCAACCCUGGGAUGCCGGUGGAUACUGUCGGGCUCGAGUCCGGAAGAGGCGAGUGGAAUUCCUGGUGUAGCGGUGAAAUGCGCAGAUAUCAGGAGGAACACCGGUGGCGAAGGCGGCAUCCUGGACCGGCAUUGACGCUGAGGCGCGAAAGCCAGGGGAGCAAACGGG